rnacentral:lncRNA from 1 species
AUGGAACCCGAUGCAUUCGAAAAUAAACUUUUUCAACGGCCUAUACCAACAAGCGGAUCGCACACGAGCAAGCGGAUGUCAAGAUCUCGACGUGAUGAAAGUCGCGUUAAAAGAAUUUAAAGAAAGAUUUCCAAGCGGUUUUCAACACAUCGAGGCGUGGGAGGUCGUUCGAAAACACGAGAAAUGGGCCCAAGUCCCAUUGAUGGGCGAGGAAGGUGAAGGUUCGGCACAUAAAAGAAAGCCCGUUGACGUAGACUUUUCGAUACCGGAUAUGAACGAAGAUCCCUCGCCACAAAGAGCACAACGGCGAGACAAGCGUCAAGCUACAUCGUCCGAGGGAAGCUCGGCCGAGUUGGCGGCACAAUUCAAAGUGUACACCGCCAUGAAAGAAGCGAAGCAAGCGGUAGAAUUGGAGGCGAUCGAAUUGAGGAAAAAA